rnacentral:lncRNA from 1 species
CACCCACAAGGGGCCUUUCCCCCUUGAUCACUAAUUGAGAAAAUACCCCACAGCUUGAUCUAACGGAGGUACUUCCCCAACUGAAGCUCCUUUCUCUGUGAUAACCCCAGCCUGUGUCAAGUUGACACAUAAAACCAGCCAGUACAAGCUCUAUUGGGGUUCUCCAGUGUGACCUUUGUAGGUGGCAACCUUAUGCCUCAAUUUCAAAUUUCAAAAGGUUGACCAUACCUAAAUGACCUUAAAACUCUCCUUUCUUUCCCCAUCCUUCUGGUAAGCAUUCACCUGAAAUCAAGGAUGUUUCCCUUUCUCUUUCUUUAUAAGUGUGUGUGUGUGUGUGUGUGUGUGUGUGUCCCUGUAUGGGUUUGUGCACAUGAGUGCAAAGCCUUCAGAGUCCAGAAGAGGGCAUUGGAUCCUGGUGUGGGCACGGAGCUUCUUGUAAUCACUAGGACUGGGUAUAUUCAGCAUGCAGGGGUGUCUCCCCAAUGAAGGAAAUUAAAAAAACAAAAAAACAAAAAAACAUUUAUUUCAUCCAGAAAGCCAGGAGUGGGUUUUGUUAACAGCCUGAUAAACUCUUUGCUGUCUAUGGAGUAGCUCUCACCCAGUCCCCAGCAUGACUGUCCCAGACUCUCCUCCCUAGGCCAUUACCCAUCCUUAGGGGAGGUCACAUGUACUCUAUAGCCUUGUUGAGCUCUAUGCUGUGGGUCAGAGACCACACUAGAUUCUAGUCCUUUUAGCUAAGGAACCCACCCUCACAGUCACAUGUAGUCCGUAAAGGAGUUUCUAUGUAGUCACACCUUAAGCUUUAUUGAGUACCUGGAGUUGGUCUGAUUGGACCAAUUGUUGCCUGGAAACCUUUUCCCACAUCGUACUGUGUUUUAAAUAUGCUGACAAUGAGCUACCUGGUAUUAGAGUCCCCGAAGUCUGAUCCAGAUUGACUAAGUCAGUCUGCGCUGGGUUCUCACUCUUACCUCUUCGCCUCCCCACGUGAUCCCUCAGGGACCCUCUGAGGACCUCCUGGAGCUAGAGUUACAGGUAGCUGUGUAUCCCCUGAGGUCGGUGAUGGAGACUGAACUCAGGUCUUCUGACAGAGCCGGAAAUGCUCUUAAUCACAAUGACAUCUCUCUCCUUCCCCAGAGGUGGCUUUUAAAUUUGAUUUUCUUAAACAUUUCUUCCUUAAUUAGUACAUACUUAUAUUUUGAAUAUAUGUAAAAAGAGAGAAAAAAAAAGAAAGAAAAGAAAAGUUACCUAUAACCCAUAUGACUCUUUGGUGUGUUUCCUUCCAGAUUUUUUCUCUAUGUGAAUAUUCAUCUAUAAAUAUACUUUGGGACAAUUGACAACAGGGAAGCUAUCGGGAUCAUUGUUGCUGCCCCCCACCCCCACCGCAGAUAUUUUGUUGUGGAAGAAUGACAAACAGGAUGCCUCUGGGGCAUGUUGAAUUACGCAGAGCCUUGGGAUGAUUCCACAGUGGAGUGGGUCAGUGACUGGUAGUUGUGUGAAUCUGGAACUUGGCGAAGACGUGGGCUGAGACGUCUCCUUCAACUGAAAGCUUCGCAGUUUGCUCUCAGGAAGAAGCACACACCAUCUGCUCUGAGGAUCUUCCGUUGACAGCCUGGCCGGGGUCAUGCUAGGAUUCAGAAAUUGCUGAGUGUGAAAGGGGCCUGAGGGAUGGGUCAGAAGAGGGCAUUGGCGGCAAGGAUCAAGAGUUUCCACGGAAUAAUCUCAACACAAGCAGUUCGGGCGAGGGUGGUGGAUUUUAGUACAACUCCUUGUCAGUCACACCUUGCCCUGCAGGCAGCCUCUGGGGACUUGCGUCAGACCCAUGGAGAAGCAGUAACAGUGAUCAAAUAUUAAAACUUCAUUAAAGUCUCUGUAAAAAGCCUAGUGGCUUCUUGUGUGUACCUG